AACACAGGGGCGAACAAGGAUUCCCCACCAAACCCUAGUUCUUGACAAAUUGAUCAAAUUGAAGGCUCUAAUCAGUUCCAAAUCGAUUUUCAAGCACGGAUUAGUGAUCUCCUCUGAAAAAAAGGUCAUAAGAUUGACGCUCGAAAAGCUAGAUGGAAGCUUGGGUAGAAGCGGGUCAAACGGAACUAAUACGCAAGGAAAAGCAUAAUCGGAAUUCAAGGUAAGUAAAGCUUACGCCCUCUUUUGUAAGUUAUGUAUUUAUUCAUAAGUUAUAAAUACGACAAAAGCUAUAUCCAAAUUAUGGUUCCGACGCGAAAUGAAACGGGUCGGAACAUAUAAAAUAAUGAUAAACCAUGUUUAAUGGUAAAACGGGUGAAAUGGUAAUUGGUCACGAGAUGACAUAUUUACAAAAUGAUUUUUUGUUUUUUUGUUUUUAACGAAGUGGUAAAUAAAUAACAUUCGAAUAUAAGUGCAAAAUGUUUGGCCGUUUAGACCAAACGGGUCAAAUGGUAAUGUUAAUACCAUUUGACACAUAACGACUAACAAGUUCUUGUCGAGUCUAAUGUUCACAGGGUAAAACGGCUUAUGGAAAUUUGCGUUGCUAUAAAUUAGCAAAUUAUUGAAGCAAGGUAUUAAAUGGGUCAAUAUAUUGACCCGAGCCAGGUGUGAGUUGAAGUGCCGGAGGACGAUCAAGCUCAACGAAGAACCGAAAAUGAUCAAUAUACAAGCUUCCGCAUUAUGUAUCGUCGUUAUUUUAAAUGACGAAUUUACACGUGUUAUGUUGUAUAAUUUUAAUUCCGUAAAAGUUUUUAUUAAACUCGUAUUUUUUUCAUUGUAUGUGUAAAGGAUAUUUACACGUUUUUAUCCGAAACUAAUAUAAUAAUAGCUAAUGGAAGUAAGGGUGUUACAGGA
rnacentral:lncRNA from 1 species